UAAUACGGAGGGGGCAAGCGUUGUUCGGAUUUACUGGGCGUAAAGGGUGCGUAGGUGGAUUGGAAAGUGAAGUGUGAAAGCCCAAGGCUCAACCAUGGAACUGCACUUCAAACUAUCAAUCUUGAGUAUAGGAGAGGUAAGUAGAAUUCUCAGUGUAGCGGUGAAAUGCGUAGAUAUUGAGAAGAAUACCAUAAGUGAAGACGGCUUACUGGCCUAAUACUGACACUAAGGCACGAAGGCUAGGGGAGCAAACAGGAUUAGAUACCCUGGUAGUCCUAGCAGUAAACGAUGUCAACUUGGUGUGGGGGGGUUCGACCUUCUCUGUGCCGGAGCUAACGCGUUAAGUUGACCGCCUGGGGAGUACGGCCGCAAGGCUAAAACUCAAAGAAAUUGACGGGGACCCGCACAAGCGGUGGAGCAUGUGGUUUAAUUCGAAGCAACGCGAAGAACCUUACCAGGACUUGACAUCUACUUGACAGGAUGUGAAAGCAUCUUUCCCUUCGGGGCAGGUAGACAGGUGUUGCAUGGCUGUCGUCAGCUCGUGUCGUGAGAUGUUGGGUUAAGUCCCGCAACGAGCGCAACCCUUGUUUUCAGUUACCAGCGGGUUAUGCCGGGGACUCUGGAAAGACUGCCGGUGACAAACCGGAGGAAGGUGAGGAUGACGUCAAGUCAUUAUGGCCCUUACGUCCUGGGCUACACACGUGCUACAAUGAUCGGUACAGAAGGACGCGAUACCGCGAGGUGGAGCAAAUCCUGGAAAACCGAUCCCAGUUCGGAUUGGAGUCUGCAACUCGACUCCAUGAAGGAGGAAUCGCUAGUAAUGGCAGGUCAGCUACACUGCCGUGAAUACGUUCCCGGGUCUUGUACACACCGCCCGUCACAUCAAGAAAGUUGAUCUCCCCCGAAGUCGCCGUACCAACCCGUCAAGGGAGGAAGCGCCGAAGGUGGGAUUGAUAAUUUGGAUGAAGUC
rnacentral:rRNA from 1 species